AGAGAGAAAGCUGAAGUGCUAUGAGAACUAACAACAAAGGUCAGCAACGGAGCACAUAUGACAGGGACAGCAAGCAGAAGUCACUGAUGGAGCCAGCUGUUUUCUAAAAGAUCCAUCAAUGGCUUACAUCAAGAGAGAACCACCACCAUAGCACCAGAUAAGCCAAAGGUCCUUGGGUCUCUUCUAUAUAUGAUAAAUGAAAAAGACUGUCUCUUGCUUAAGGAUUUGCAGAAAGUGGCAGGAAUGGGAUUUGAAUUCAAGCAUGUCUGAGUCCAAACACCAUGUCUGACAUUAUAUGAAGUGCCUGAAUGUAAGAUCCCUUCUUCAAUAAACAUAAGCACCUUUUUAUACUAUAAAGUAAUGUAAAAUGCAAGCUAGGUUU